rnacentral:lncRNA from 1 species
CACAACUUCCAGCUAAAUGCACAACAGCCUGAUAAAGCUGUUUGUACACCAGACAAUGAACUGCAUAAGAGAUGUAGUUCUGUUUGUUUCUUCAGGAAAACCUCCUAUGAGCAGAGAAGAUGGCAAAGAAGAAAUCCCAGCUAUUUGAAAGCCACAGGUGAUAUUCCAGUAUUGUAGAUGAAUAAGAAACCACACUGUUAUUAAACUUGAAAGAUACCAACAUCUCUGAGCUUGACAGCAUCCCAUGGAAGAUAUAUUUCCUGCUGCUACAGAAACA